AGUUGGGAAUCUUGGACAAUGGGGGAAACCCUGAUCCAGCCAUGCCGCGUGAGUGAUGAAGGCCUUCGGGUUGUAAAACUCUUUCGACGGGGACGAUAAUGACGGUACCCGUAGAAGAAGCUCCGGCUAACUUCGUGCCAGCAGCCGCGGUAAUACGAAGGGGGCUAGCGUUGUUCGGAAUUACUGGGCGUAAAGCGCGCGCAGGCGGUUCUCCAAGUCAGUGGUGAAAGCCCGGAGCUCAACUCCGGAACUGCCAUUGAAACUGUUGAACUUGAGGACGAGAGAGGUGAGUGGAAUUCCCAGUGUAGAGGUGAAAUUCGUAGAUAUUGGGAAGAACACCGGUGGCGAAGGCGGCUCACUGGCUCGUUUCUGACGCUCAGGCGCGAUAGCGUGGGGAUCAAA
rnacentral:rRNA from 1 species